rnacentral:misc_RNA from 1 species
GGGGAGCUCAAGGGCAGGUGAAUUUGUAUAGGGACAUGAAUAGUGUUAAAUCCACAUAGUAUGAGUUGUGUAAGACCAGAAGCAAGCUCGACGAAACCCAGUAUUAUCGAAAUGCAACAUAAAUACAAUUGAGAGAACAUAUCUUGAUUGAUUUCUGGAGAGAACGCCCAUCGCGUUGUCUACAGAUGACCAAGUUCUUUCUCUGCAGCACUCUUAAAUUUUGAUUGACAUAAGGAGUGCACAUC